GAUGAACGCUGGCGGCGUGCCUAAUACAUGCAAGUCGAACGAAGAGAUCUUAGUACUCGUACUGGGUUCUCUUAGUGGCGAACGGGUGAGUAACGCGUUGGUGACCUGCCUCGAAGUGCGGGAUAACUCCGGGAAACUGGAGCUAAUACCUCAUGUGGUCAUGGUUUUUAGAAAUCUAUGACCAAAGGUCUUCGGAUCGCUUCGAGAGGGGCCUGCGUCCCAUCAGCUAGUUGGUAGGGUAAUGGCCUACCAAGGCUACGACGGGUAGGGGACCUGAGAGGGUGACCCCCCACAAUGGAACUGAAACACGGUCCAUACACCUACGGGAGGCUG
rnacentral:rRNA from 1 species